CACAUGAAACAAACAAGCCAUUUUACACACAGCAGUCAUUUAGCUGUCUUUUUUUAAUCUUGGUAAGAAAUGCAACCCACACACUUAUACUGCUGCACUAAAUUGAUUUCAUUUGUCUGCUCAUCUCAUUGCUUUUAUGUUUGAGGUUUUUGACAACAGAGAGAUGAAGUGUGCCAUUUAAGGUCUGUGGUAAAGCAGCACUGACCUAUAUAAAUAUAAGAAGCCCAUUUCCUCCAACUUUUGUUUAGUGGCCCAUGUGAAACUGUUCGGUGUAUUGUUGGUGUUAUGUGUAUGUAAAAGUAAAAUAAGUUUUGUUAAUUUAUAUAUAUUAACUAUAUUUUAUGAGGGCUGCUCUGAAAGUAAUGCCUCCUGUUUUAUGAUGGCCCACUACAUCAGAGGUGGGAAUGUUGAAUGUUGGCAUUAGAGGUUGAACCUUCCCUCCCCUCUAGUAUUCCAUUACACUUUGUGGCCAUGUGACAGAUAGCAGCACAGGGGCAAUCUGACACAGUGGUGUCUGACAUGGAAGUGUGUGUGAAGCAACGAUAUGGUACCGAAUUCCUCCAUGCAGAAAUCAUUGCACACACUGACAUUCACUGAUACUUGCUGAACAUUUAUGGAGACCAAAGUGUGGAUGUGAGCGCAGUGAGGUGGUGGGUGCUGCGUUUCAGCAGUGAUGAGAGCUGCCGUAGGCCAACUCCGCUUAUGCAGAUUGUUAUGGGCACACCAUGCAGGCUCUUGUUCAUCACUGGUGAAAAUGCAUAGCUAGUGGUGGUGACUGUGCUGAAAAAGACUGUUUUGUAGCUGAAAAUUUGCUAUAUUAAAUAGUGUUAUUGUGCUGUUUGUAUCAGUUGUAAUUUCCAUGGAAAUAAUUAGGAGGCGUUACUUUCAGAGCAACCUUUGUAGAUGCAUCCCCUAGAGAAUUCCUCUUCAUUCAGUGCAGCCCAGGCAAGCCAAAAAGUUGGACAACCAUGCCUUAAUCUAAACUACAGACUGGGAUGAAAUUCAUCUUCUGAGCAGCUGCUUUCAAAGAGCCAACUAGAGACAGGUAGAAUUGCCUUUUCUCACUCACUACAAGGGAAUUUAUCAUUUCCUUUUUCAAGACUAAAGGCUAAUAAAUGAAAUAAGAUAGAGAUCACUAUCUUAGAAGUUAUCAGGGCUCCAGUUCCAACUCCCACUACUGCUCAUUUUUCAUUCUAAAGACAAUUGACUAGGUGGUUGAUUGUCACCAUGUCCCAAGGCCCUUUGAGAGGUUGUUUGUCAAUAAGGAACACUGGUUCAUGAUUCUGCCUUUCCAUUUCAGUCUACUGGCUCAGCUUUGCUAGGAAGACAGAAAGGUUGCCUGAAUAUGUAGUCUGGGUUAACUUUUAAGCAAGAGAUUGAUGAUGUUUAUGUAUAUAUGUAUGACUGAAUUGACUGAAUAAUGAAAAGAAGUACGUAUUAUACAAAAUAGGUCCAUAACCUGCACAGUUACUGCUCCUUUUGUAGCUGGCCAGGGGCAUGAAUGACAAGAAUAUUAUGACUAGUACCAUUUCUUUUUUGUCCUCAUGAAAACAGAUGUACUCAUCUUUUUUCUCGUGGAAUACAGAUCUUCAAAGAAAUUCUGUGUUUAUCAGUAUUGAUUGGACUACUCCAUUAUGCAGUUCUUCUAGGUUCUUCUACACUGAGGACCAACAUGCUCAUGAGCAAUGACGUCUGCACUUGGAUACAACAGCCACUGGAACAAGUCACUGGGUUUAGAGUAGAUACUAUCUUGACACGUUCUCUUCUAGGAACCUUUGACUGUGGAGGCUUCAAAGCAUAGAAAGAGGGCAGAGAUACCUAUUCCCUAUAUUUAUCUGGUACAUACUUAAGGGAUGAGUCUAAAUUCCAGCAGCCUGGGAAAAAGUCAUGUUAUCUGUGAGAAGAUUGCUUCCAAUAUUCUGCAUGGUUGGUGGUAGAAAGCAAAGAGAAAAUCAUGUGCUUGCAUUCUGCACAUCAGAGAGCACAAAGACACUUGUGCAUUACCAACAAGAGCAGUGGGAAUUUCCAUGCUCUGUCUGUAGUCCCUGUCCAGCCAAGAUGCCAGCUGCUCCCUGACACAAGGUCUGUGCUGGGGUUACUUUGCUUCUUGCUCAAAUUUGAUCUCAGUAGCCUUGUCAAAUUCCGCUGUGAGCUUUUCCUUCCAUCCCUCAGUGCAAAA
ensembl:lncRNA